CCCCCCCCCCCCCCCCACCGGAACCCCGAGCAGGUGAGACUGGCCGCCCUUGAUGGUGAUGGGUCCCAGGCACGGCCCACCACAAAGGCUGCGGAGGAAGCUCUGUCGUUCCCCAAGGGACUAGGUGGGCGUGUCUGGAGGGGCCCAGAGCCCGGAGGACACAUGGGCUGAGGGGGUGGGGUGCGGCUGGCUCCCGGAGGGGGUCCUGCUAUGUCUGGCCUUGGAACAUGAGGGUCUUGUCUGCCACCGUCCGGCCUUUCUGGGCUGUCCGGGUGUCCAGUCAACGCAGCUUGGCUCCCAGGAGGGACCAGCGCUCCUCUCAGCGGAGGCUGCGGGGCCCCCUUGUCCGCUCGGCGGGGCAGCAAGAAGAGAGGGCGGGCUUCCUUUGCUCCGCUGGCUCCCUGUCCUCAGAGCGACGCCCGGCGGGCACGUCUGCAGAGCUAGCUGCGGGCGGUCAGCCAGGGCUGGGGUGGUGCUGAGGCUGUCUGCCAGCCUCUGCCCUCCCCUUCCCUCUUCUCUUUCCAUCCCAGGUUUCAGGGAGUUACUUUCACCCGUUCCCACCUCUCUGAGGGGUGGGCGGGUGCAGGACGGCUCUGCGUGGUUUUCAGGUGUUUUCAUCUGGAUGCACAUCGGUGGGCGUUCCGCAGGCAGAUCAACUGAUGAAGCUUUUCAUCAUAACGAUAAUGUCGGCAACCGCAAACUACUGGAGUCUGCGAAGUGCUGUGCACAUUACCCUGGAGGCCUGGCAGCAGGGUUGGGGGCUGUCAGCUGUUUCACAGGCCCCACCCCAGAUCCAUGCCAGUGGGUAUCAGGAGGAGAAGCCCUGGAGGAACUGGAGGAAGCCAACUGGAGCCUCAGACACGCGAGCAGCUGUGUCCCACUGGGGCGGCAGCAGUGGCCUCUGGAGGAACCUCCAGCUCCUCCUCUGCCACCAGCAUAGCGUCCAGACAGAAGCCAGAACUACCCAUGAAACAUCACGCAGUGUGACAUAACUGGGUCACCGAGUGGUCAGAUAUUUGGUCCGACUUUAUUCUGGGUGUUUCUGGGUGAGAACAGGUGAUUCUGUGCACCUCUCCAGGCGGGCCUUGUCUGAUCAGCGGAGGGCUGCGUCCGGGCACCCACCUGGCUCCUGCCCACUUUCUUCCCGUUCUUCUUGCUGACCAACACGUGUCUUCCGGGCUGGCAGGGAUGUGGUCUGUACCAAGAAUACUGCCCGGCUCAGAGCAAGGGAAGCCACACCUGAGAGGGCAACAGGCAGGAAGGCCAGGGGUCUCCAAACCCAGGAGACAGGCUGCAAGUGUCAGACACUUUUUCUCUCUCUCUUAAGCGGCAGGAGGAAACAAGUGUUAGCUUUUCUCCCUUCUCUAUCCAAAUCUAAAGAGGCUUCUUUUAAAAUUCUGUGUUGCCAUGAUGACACCUGGUUCCACCUGAACUUUUCUCAAACCUGGAGCUAAACAAUGCGUUUUUCUUGUGGAAACGUUUGUCUUAAGCUAUGUUAAUGAACUGUGUAUUUACCCUAGACUCUGUCUUCAAAUCGGUUCUGCCUGAGACUCAGGACCAACUGACAAACCGGCGUUUGUACUCAUGCACUGCUCUCGUAAGCUAUGUUAGUGAGACUGCGUUUGCUUGGAAACUUGCCUUUCUUCAAGAUUCACGUUAAUCGUCUUAUGGCUCAGGAUGACCCACCUGGUGCCAAUGUUAUCUCAAAAUGCAUGUGUGGGUGAGGGGUCUGGUGCCAUUCUCUGAGUUUUGAGACUUUUCCUUUUUCUAAUUAGCAGACCGCUAGUAGCUAUAUAACAUUCAGCUAAAGACUGGCCCGGGGCACUCUUGCUGCCCCCUUCUGAUGUCUAUGUCAGAAGCUUUCUCUAUCUCUUUUAUACUUUAAUAAAACUUUAUUACACAGACGCUCUGAGCGAUCA
rnacentral:lncRNA from 1 species